GUCACUUCUCAGCCUUUUGACUAAGAUCAACUAUCGUGUCUGUUCUUACUAGUUAAAUAUCUGACAUGUCUUCUUUCUUAGGAUGUUACACUAAAUGGACUUUUGAAGCAGGGAUAUAGAAUAAGAUCUUGCUCUAUCCACUUCACAAAUCAACCACAUAUUGUAGCACCUCCAGGAAUAGUUUAAAAAAA
rfam:Erinaceus europaeus unplaced genomic scaffold scaffold00071, whole genome shotgun sequence